GCUCCGUUAGUUCAGUGAAUUAGAAUGCAUCACUACGGAUGAUGAGGUCGGGGGUUUGAAUCCCUCACGGAGUA
rnacentral:tRNA from 1 species